ACAUCCCUGAUGUGGAGCAAAAAGAGAAGGGAAGAAGUCCUGGGUUAGUGGGAGGAUGUUUCUGGAAUGGAACUGGGGGAGCUGCUGGUCAUAUCAUUGGAAUCAUGGGCUGCUUUGGCUUGGAAGGGACACAAAGACCCUCUGGACUCUGUUGUCCAAUAUCAUGGCAAAGAACACAUCCCAAGCUGCCUCCUCGCCCUCAUGGACUGCAGGAGUGUCUUCCAUAGCUCCUGUUCAGGAAUGGCAGUGGCUGUGGGGAGCUCUGGCGGGAGCAGCUGGAGACCAGGUAAGAACAGAAAUGGGAUCAUUCCAGCUGCUGCUGGAGGUGGUCUUCCCUUUUCAGGAUGUUCCUCUGAUGGGUGUUUGCACAGCAGUGUUCUAGGGCAUGUGUGGGGGUAAUGCCAGGAAUUUUGAAACAGUUGAGAAGCAGAGGGGAAAAAAUGUGAAGUUGGUCCAUUUCUAGUAAUUCCAAACUUUUCCCACAACACCAUUCUAGGGGAGAUCUGGGUAAGCGACAAAGGUGCAGAGGAACAAAUGCUCUAAACCCCCCUGGAUUUCUGACAGAGCAAACCUUCCCGUGAUCCCAGCUGAUGUCUCUGAGAAACUGGGGAUUUCUAGGCAAGAAGAAGAAAGAGGUGAGGGAAUGGGCUUCCAGUCAGUAAUGAUUUGAUGGACAUGGGAUGAUUCUUGAAUGUUUGAUGCUUCCCUUUUUAUUCCUGGGAUAAUUUUUAAAUUAUUCCUUUAAUAAAUCAUUUAAAUUUGGGAAUUUAAACUUGAAAGGAAGCAAUACAAAAGAGAUGCAUGGAGAGAUCAUAGAAUCAUCCUGGAAUCCCCAGAGGGUUUGAGUGGGAAGGGACCUUAAGGAUCAUUUCAUUCCAUCCCCUGCCAUUCCAUCCACAGCCCACCUGCUCCAAGCCCCAUCCAGCCUGGCCUUGGACACUUCCAGGCAUGGAGCAGCUGCGAUUUCUCGGGGUUUAUGGGCACAGGGGGAAAUUCCAGCAGGAACUGAGGAGUUCCCUUUGCUCUGUCCAGCCCCAGCAGGGCUGUGGGAGGCAGAGGAUGUGGGAACAGGAGCUUUGCCACUGCCUCGGGGCAGUCUCUGCUGUCCCAACACGCAGCAGAGCAAACGUUUGUGGUUUCACAUCCCGUUAAAAGGAGCUGCCGAGCCGGGAAUGGGAACGGGGGCGGAGCAGGGCUGGCACAGGCAGAGGGGUGACAUCCAGAGGGUGCCACCAGCCCGUCCCUGCUGCCCAGGCUGGGGAUGAGCGGGCUGGUGACUGUCCCUGUGCUGGCUCUGCGGGAUGAGGAAGCCAACCCUGCCGAGGAGGAAGAGGAGGAGAUGUGGGAGGAUGGAGACAGCGGCCACCAAAGGCUGGGGACUGCACAAGGCCAGGUUCUUAUGUGCCUUAGAGGAGGUAUUUGUGGAAAGGUGAUUAUCCCUCAUGGACUCUCUGAAAAACAGGGAUUGAAGCUUUCUGAAGUGACCCAAACCUGCCUGCAGCCCUUUGCUUCCCAGAGGUGAUGCUUCAGGAAAGCCCCUCCAGCCUGGGAAGGAGCUUUUGGCUCUGGACACAUUCCCAGUCCCCAGGAGCAGCAGGACCUGUGCUGUUCCCAGCAGGUGAGGCAGAGGUGCCUUUCCUUCCUCCCUUCCCUGCUGCACUUUGGCUUUUCGAGGGGUCUCUGGGGGUCUGAGGGAGAAAUUCUUUGUCACUCCAGGGCAGAAUUAGCCCUGGUCCCACUAAAAGCAGGAGGAAUCAUUCAUUUUAUCCUAGAUUUUGGAUACACAUUUUGUGUUUUCUCUCUGUUGCUGACACCGUGUGGUGAAGCAGCAGCUCCCAGCUUGUCAGUGCUGCUCCCUGGAAUGGUUUUUAUUUGUAACACCAUGAAUUCCCUGCUGGAUUCCCAGCACAGCCCCCAGAUCAAUGUGCAGUUGAAGGUCUUACACACUCACCAGGACAAUUUCCUGUCUCUAGGCAUGGAAAAUGGGGGAAAACUCAGACUGGAGUGGAGCCAGGAUCCAGAAUGGGGGAGUGACGCAGCGUGCUCAGCCCAGGCUGGGGUUGGCACAGGGGCUGUUCCCCAUUGGAUGAUCCCUGUGUGGAACAGAUCCUUCUCUUCCUUUGUCCAAAGUCCAAUGGCAAAGGAUUCAGGAACCCCCAAAGUGGAGCCUGGAAUGAAAAUGGUUCUGUUAAAAUUAGGCAAAGAAUGCAAUAAGAAAAAAUGGCAUCCUUUUUAUGUACUGAAAUAGUAGGGAAUAAAAUGUUGAUGAGGGGCACUUUUAUUUGGUGUCACCUCUCAUUUUUUAUGGAUAGAACCCCACAGUGGGCAAUCAGAACAGAAGUGGGAAAGCCAGGAGCCUUUGACUUCCAGAGUGGACCUGAUUUCCAUUUUCUCCUCUCUUUCAGGACAGGAAAAACCACUUAACUCAUCCCAUCUCUGCCCAAAGCUUUGGUGUUUGAGCAGCCAAACCCAACAGGCUCCAGCCUGCACUGGAGGGCCCCUGGUCCUGCCCGUGGUGUGGGAUGCUGGAAUUGCCUCUGGAUGUGUGCUGAGCUCUCACUGCAGGGAACUGCCAGGCCUUAAUGGUUGGAAGAAGUUUUCAGCUGAUUCAGAUGAGUUUCCAGCAGCCUCAUCUCCUGGCACUUCCUAGGCAGCCGGAUCCUCUCUCCCACCCCUCCUACUCUCAGGCUGGGGCCAGCUGUGCAGAGAAUUUGUCUCACCAGCAGCAGGACAGGAGCACUCACACCCUGGCACCUGGAUUGUCCUUUUAGGGGAUGCUGGGAUUUACAUAAUUCCAUACAUUUGGCUGCUGAAAUUUCCCAGCCCAAGGAUUUUGGCUGACAGGGCAGCACAAAGUUUGUUCCCUGUGUGGUGCCCAGAUUUUGGGUUCAGCUUUGCUGUUUAGAUGAAUUAGAGCUAUAGCCCUGAAUUCCUGUUGCUGGUGGGACAAAUACUCUGCACAGAAUUCCUUCCUCUUCCAAGGAAGCUCAAUGGGAUCAGGACAAGGACAGGUUGAUAUUCCAUAGCAUUUGUUAUUUAUAAUCCUUUGCUAUUUAUUCAUCCCCCAGCCCCACUCAUGUCGCUGGGACACCUGACAGAGUUCCUGGAAUUCAGUGGAUUCCACCCCCCUGAGCUCAGCUCCAGGGGAUGUUUGAAAGCAGCAGAAGGGGUGGCCGGACGCGCUCCCGGCCCUGCUGAGGCAGCCCCUGUGCCCAGGGGAGGAGAUCUCUCCCUGCAGGAGCUGAGCUCAUUCCAGAGCCUCGGGAGUGGCCUCUGGGAGUUCUUUUCCCUGAGGAAAGGGAUGCACAUCCCUGCCUUCAGGGCACCUGCACUGUGACCCACCUGUGAAAGCUUCCCAGCAGUUCUGCAGUUCCAGCUGGUUCCCUGAAAAACUCAAACUUCAUUCAAACAAAACCUCAUCCAACUCUGACCUUUUAUUUUAGGGCAUCUCCGAGGUCAUUGCUCGGGAUUGAAUUUCUGCGAGGGAAAUUCCCUUGGCUCUAACGCUGCUGCUGGAGGCUGUGCCCAGGCUGGAAGGGAAGGGAUGGGGUGGCUGGGACAGACCUGGUGGGUGUGUGGGAGCUCCAGGUGGGCACUGGGAAUCGCUGUCUGAGCUCCUCUGCAAACCCAACGUGCUGACAUUCCCAGGCAAUGCCAGCUGUUCCUUGGGGCAUUUUUGGGAUGUCAGUGGGCUCUGUCUGGGCUGCAGCAUCUCCUGUGCCCGUUCAGAGCAGCCCCUGGCCGAGGAGCCGCGGGCAGCCCUUUAUCCGUGCCCAUCCCAGCGCUGCCCGGGCACCCCAGCGCCCAUCCCCGGGAUGUGUUUGGCACGCUGCCUGCCACGGGCAGGACACUGAGGCACAGCUCCUGCCCUGCAGGUGCCAAGGACAAGAGGGGCUGCUUCCCCUCCUGGGGCUCGGCCUCCUCCCGCCCCGCGUUCCCGCCCCGCUGGGACACACCGGGAACACCGAGGAACGUUCCUGGCAGGGAGCAGGAGUCCCCGAGGGCUCCGUGCAGCUCUGGGCCUGAGAAGCAGCCCCGGCCUCGGCCCCACCGAGGUUUUGGGCUGUGAACACUCACCUGCAGGAAACGCCCCUCUGCAGGCGGGACCAGCCCCGGCACUCUCCAGAAGAACUUUGGCCAUGGACCAAGGGAACCCUCAGGACUUGUCUUGCUCAUUUCUCCCUGGAAAGGGACAUGGCACAAGCACCUUUGCAAGCUAUCAGGACAAUACUGGAAAAGACAGAAAAUCAGGAUUAUGGGAAGACUUUUGUGCUGUCAUGUCAGGUGCCAGCCAGUUCUGCCCUAGAGCUAUUCUAGAGGCUGGUGUGUAACCGCAGCAUUAGCAAAAAUUUGCCAAUUUGCAUAGGAAUUCCCUUGCUGGCAGCAGCCAUUCCCAUCCCAGGCAGGACCUUCCUCCUGACCCUGAGAUUGGCUCAGGUACUUGGAGCAGGCUGCUGAGAGGAGCAGGAUUCCGAGUUUAAUGCCCACAUGGGCCGGUCACUUACCAUCAUGAGACUUGAUGCUCCUCGUGGCUCUUUCUAACGCAGGAUACCCUGUGCUCUGGAAAUAAACAGUUUUCACCGGCUUUUUAAA